rnacentral:rRNA from 1 species
AGCGCCAGGGAAUUACGAGCAAUGCUUAAAACCCAAAGGAUUUGACGGUAUCCCAUCCACCUAGAGGAGCCUGUUCUAUAAUCGAUAAGGCCGGGGUCGGGGGGCCACCCCUAGCUUAUCAGCCUGUAUACCUCCGUCGAAAGCCUACCAUGUGAAUGUUUUCAGUAAGCCCAAUGACCCCCAUCAAAACGUCAGGUCAAGGUGCAGCUUACGGAGUGGAAAGCAAUGGGCUACAGUUUCUAAACUAGAACAUACGAAAAAUUAGGUGAAACCCUAGUCAUGAAGGCGGAUUUAGUAGUAAAAAGAAAAUAGAGUGUUCUUUUUAACUUGGCCCUGGGAUGUGUACACACCGCCCGUCACCCUCUUCGACUAUUCUCAAGACUGCUCCCUAACUCCAUCCCCGCACCCUAGAAGAGGUAAGUCGUAACACGGUAAGUGUACUGGAAAGUGCACUUGGCUAAUAA